AAUUAUCAACCUUGUUAGCUUUUGCUAAUAAUGGCUUGGACUUGGGGGUCUUGUGUAGGCUUGCAUUAGUCUGCUCCCCUUAAAGGUAUUAGCUGGUGCCCCACAGUGGACCGUCUAUUGGUGUGAUAAUUAUCUACGCCGUGGAUAUCCGCUUUCAAUGGGUUUGCACUGCUUAUAGCCGUCUGUUAACUCGGACAAUGUAAUGACA
rnacentral:misc_RNA from 1 species